UACGUAGGGUGCGAGCGUUAAUCGGAAUUACUGGGCGUAAAGCGUGCGCAGGCGGUUCGUUAUGUCCGUUGUGAAAGCCCCGGGCUCAACCUGGGAAUGGCAAUGGAAACUGGCGGGCUAGAGUGUGGCAGAGGGGGGUGGAAGUUCCGCGUGUAGCAGUGAAAUGCGUAGAGAUGCGGAGGAACACCGAUGGCGAAGGCAGCCCCCUGGGCUGACACUGACGCUCAGGCACGAAAGCGUGGGGAGCAAACAGG
rnacentral:rRNA from 1 species